rnacentral:lncRNA from 1 species
CUUCUGUCAAGCAUUUGCAGACCAAUAAGCUUGAAUCUCAAUCUGAUAAGUAUCAUUUCAUAAGGUACCCCCAGAAAACUAGGAAUAUAACUUCUACCUUACUGAAGAACAAAAAUUGUUCAUCAGUAAUAAGAUAUUUUUUUUGAAAAAAAAGUUUUUUAAUGAAGAAACUGAUGCCUCUAAAGUUGAACUUAUGAAGUUCGACAGGGAGAAGAACCAAUACAAUCUAGUGAACCCAUAGAACUAGAUUUGAUUAGAUCAAAUUUAAAACCCAUUAUAGAGGC